AGGAAUAUAGUUAAUUAUAACAUUUAGUUUGCAUCUAAAAAGUAUUGAUCAUUCAAUUUUUCUU
rnacentral:tRNA from 1 species